GAGCGCCAAAGAAAAGCGAUAACACAAAGUACUAUGAGAUUCUCGGAGUCUCGAAAAACGCUUCGCAAGAUGAUCUGAAGAAGGCUUAUAGGAAAGCCGCCAUCAAAAACCAUCCUGACAAGGGCGGUGAUCCUGAGAAGGUUUAUUUUUAUUUUUUAAAAUUACGAUUUUUUGUUGUUAUUUGUUUUGGUUUUUAAUAACUCAGCAUGCUUGUUUCGAUUUACAGUUUAAAUUGUUUGCAUAUGUGGAUCAAAUUGUUUAGAUCUAUUUUUCUUUUAAAGUUUGGAUAUUUACUGGAUUGCCACUCGAGGAUUAAUUGAAACUGUGUUGUUAAGCUGAACUGCUGGAGCUGGGAACUUUGUUUUAUUGGUCAAAAUUGAAUUUUUGUUUUUUUGUGCCAUAUUUGGUAAUUUAAUUGAUAGUGUGAUUACUGAACAUCUGAAAUUUUACUUGUUAUUCAGUUUAAAGAGUUGGCACAAGCGUAUGAGGUUCUGAGUGACCCAGAGAAGCGUGAAAUAUAUGAUCAAUACGGCGAGGAUGCGCUUAAAGAGGGAAUGGGUGGUGGUGGUGGUGCCCAUGACCCAUUCGACAUAUUCCAAUCCUUCUUCGGUGGCAGCCCAUUUGGUGGUAAGCUUCCCCCCCAACCUCGUUCAGAUUCAUAGUCCUUUAAGAGUGAAAGUGAUGGUAGUUAUACUGAACUGAAAAUACUUGUGGGCGGUAGGUGGGAGCAGCAGAGGAAGAAGGCAAAGGAGGGGAGAGGACGUAAUCCAUCCCCUCAAGGUUUCGUUGGAGGAUCUGUACAAUGGGACAUCUAAGAAGCUCUCGCUCUCCCGCAAUGUAAUCUGCACCAAGUGCAAAGGGUUAGUUUCAAAAUAUCUGCUUUGAUGAAUUAUUUAUGAUGCAACAAGUCUUUUGUUGGGUUUGCUUUUCUACUUUCCUGUACUUACGAACAGUAAUUUGGUGUGGUUAUUUGCAGGAAGGGGUCUAAGUCAGGUGCAUCAAUGAAAUGUUCUGGCUGCCAGGGAUCUGGAAUGAAAGUUUCAAUAAGACACCUUGGCCCCUCUAUGAUUCAACAAAUGCAGCAUCCUUGCAAUGAGUGCAAGGGUACUGGAGAAACAAUCAAUGACAAGGAUCGCUGCCCACAAUGUAAGGGUGAGAAGGUCAUUCAGGAGAAAAAAGUCUUGGAGGUUAUUGUUGAGAAGGGGAUGCAAAAUGGACAGAAGAUUACGUUCCCUG
rnacentral:lncRNA from 1 species